rnacentral:lncRNA from 1 species
CUGGUCUGCCUGCGGAUAUGGAGCUCUGCCCUGUUCACCAGACUUGCUACGUUGACUUUAUACCUUGUAAAUUAAAAAAGGAAAUAGUAACACUACAUAACAAUAAUUACGCUAUAAGGAGUACCAGUACUGAGUCAAUGUGCAGGGGUACCAGGUAGUUGAGGUAAUAAUGAGACUAUAAGGAGUACCAGUACUGAGUCAAUGUGCAGGGGUACCAGGUAGUUGAGGUAAUAAUGAGACUAUAAGGAGUACCAGUACUGAGUCAAUGUGCAGGGGUACCAGGUAGUUGAGGUAAUUGAGGGAAUAUCCACAUGUAGGUAGGGGUAAAAGUGACUAGGCAAUCAGGAUAGAUAGGGGCGGAAGGGUAGCCUAGUGGUUAGAGUGUUGAGCUAGUAACUGAAAGGUUGCA